rnacentral:rRNA from 1 species
GCAAGUCGAGCGAAUGGAUUAAGAGCUUGCUCUUAUGAAGUUAGCGGCGGACGGGUGAGUAACACGUGGGUAACCUGCCCAUAAGACUGGGAUAACUCCGGGAAACCGGGGCUAAUACCGGAUAACAUUUUUGAACUGCAUGGUUCGAAAUUGAAAGGCGGCUUCGGCUUGUCACUUAUGGAUGGACCCGCGUCGCAUUAGCUAGUUGGUGAGGUAACGGCUCACCAAGGCAACGAUGCGUAGCCGACCUGAGAGGGUGAUCGGCCACACUGGGACUGAGACACGGCCCAGACUCCUACGGGAGGCAGCAGUAGGGAAUCUUCCGCAAUGGACGAAAGUCUGACGGAGCAACGCCGCGUGAGUGAUGAAGGCUUUCGGGUCGUAUAACUCUGUUGUUAGGGAAGAACAAGUGCUAGUUGAAUAAGCUGGCACCUUGACGGUACCUAACCAGAAAGCCACGGCUAACUACGUGCCAGCAGCUGCGGUAAUACGUA